rnacentral:lncRNA from 1 species
UAAUUACUGUGGUCUCCCAAGUUGCCUAUUCUACAGGCAUUUAUCACCAUUCCUGGCCCCACAGCAUAUCUCUUUUUUAUUGGAGACAAGGUUUUGCACUGUUUGAUCUUGAACUCGCACAAGGUGGCCUUAAAAUUUUAAUCAUCCUCCUUUAACUUCUUAAAUAUAUGGGAUUAGUCAUGUGCCAUGAUCCCAGUUAUUGUUAGUUUUUUGAGUAAUAUGCACAGAUUUUCAUAUCAGUUACCAAUUUACUUGCACACACCCAUGCAUAAGUGUUGAUUUUUCUCCACAUCCACAUUGGUGUUUGUCACUUUUCUGUUAUCCAUUUUGACUGCGUGAGAUGAUACCUCAUGUAUUUUUUUUUUCUUGUGGUGGUGGGGACUAAACCCAGGAUCUUGCGCAUGCAAGGCAAGCACUCUACCUACUGAGCUAUUUCCCUAGCACUCCUCAUUGUAUUUUUUAUUUGCAUUUUUCUGAAGGCUAAUUAUAUUGAACAUUUUUCUAUAUGUUUACUGGAACUUUUUGUUUCUUCUUUUGAAACCUGUCUACUUCAUUUGCCCACUCGGAUGGCUUUACUUUUUUGAUUGAUUGUUUGGUGUUAUAAAUUUUUUUUGUACUUUACAUAUAAUAAAUAUGAAGCUUGUAUCAAGUGCAUACUGGGCAAAGAUUUUCUCCCAUUUAUAGGGAUUCCUCCUUUUUUAUUUGCUGUACAUUAGCUUUUUAGUUUAAUGCCAUUUUCUUUUUUUUUUUUAAAUUUUGAAAUUAUAUCCAAAACAUUUGUUGUC